AUGGGAAGUGCAGAAGCAGUAACGAGCGUUAAGAAGCUUUUAAUUGAUAAUAUUGAUAAUAACGAUGAGUACGGUCAAAACUUAAAAAUAUUGCCAUCUAAUGAUCAAGUUAAAGAGCUGCAAACCAUUCUACGCGACAAGAACACUACAAGACAUGAUUUCAAGUUUUAUGCUGAUCGUUUGAUUAGACUGGUUAUAGAAGAAAGUUUAAACCAAUUGCCAUUUACAGAAUGUAUUGUAACUACGCCAACAGGUGCCAAGUACAAAGGCUUAAAAUAUCAAAAAGGCAAUUGUGGAGUAUCUAUUGUGAGGAGUGGAGAAGCUAUGGAACAGGGUUUACGAGAUUGCUGUCGUAGCAUACGCAUAGGUAAAAUACUUGUAGAAAGUGAUGUGGAUACACAUGAAGCUAAAGUUGUUUAUGCAAAAUUUCCUGAUGACAUAUCGGAAAGAAAAGUUCUAUUAAUGUAUCCAAUAAUGAGCACCGGAAAUACUGUGAUAAAAGCAAUUGCUGUAUUAAAGGAGCAUAAUGUGCUUGAAGAGAAUAUUAUUCUCUCUAAUUUAUUUUGUACGCCAUUUGCUGCCAGAACUCUUGUCACUGCCUUCCCGAAGAUGAAGAUCUUGACAUCGGAGAUUCAUCAAAUAGCACCAAAUCACUUUGGACAAAAAUACUUUGGCAGUACGUAUUGCGGUGUAAUGGGACCGACAGGCAUAAGUGGAAGCUAUUGUGAUAAAAACAUUAUAUAGCCUUGAAGUUUUAACAAUUAAUGUUAUGAGAAAAAGUAAAGAUGCACGAUGGACAUAUGGCAAAGAAUAUCCUAAUUUUGGAAAAAAUAAUCAGUACCCUGACAGAUCUACAGAUGAGAGAUGAUACAGACUACAAUCAAGUACUACAUCCCACAACUUAAAGUUAUUUACAAAAUUUAUGUUACAUUUUGUUACAAAUGCACUAGAAACAUUUCGCAUACCUCUUAUCCAUGAUACUUCCGGCUUUACUGCUACUUUAAAAGUUGCAUUUGAAAAACAAAUUGAGUAUGAUUAUUUGAUAUUUGCAACAUUCUUGCUCUACCAAGAUGUGCGUAUUCUUUGAAAUAUGACUUCGCCUCCAAAAAUAUAAUCUGUGCAAUUACAAAACUUAUAGCGAUAACUAAAUCUUAUGUCAAUGAUAAUAAAUUGAUCAACAGCUAGGAGCACAAAAAUAUUUUGGUAUUUACAUACUUUACUAGACCAUAACAAGAAUAGAUAUUAAAUGUCUACGAAGUAGUAUAUUGAAUACAUUGGUAAAUUGCAUCGUUUAUCAUAUUCCUGCUGCUUUAUUGAUUAAAAAAUAACAAAGUACUUGAAAUUACUCAUAAACCAGCCUUGUAUUUUCUUCAUAAAAUGAAUAACAUUAUACAUAAGUUCUGUUGAAAUUUAACGUGUACUCGACUGUGUUCCAAAAAGUAUAAGUGAAAUAUCAAAUUCUUUGUAACAGUUGAAUUGUUUUGUAUAAUUUAUUUCAAUGUAUUUAUUAGUAAAUCCAUAUAUGUAUAUAACAAUAAUCCUUAUAUCGCAUACAUAUCAAAUGUAUAAUGAAAUUAUCCAUGUAUUUUCAAAUAUUUCAAUGUAUUAAGAUUUAUUUAAUGUAACAUUAAUAUCUAACAACUAUUAAUUAAUAUUGUACAGCUUCGUGUUCCAGUAAUCAACGUAUUUAAUUUGUAUUUAAUUAUACAUUUGAAUCACUCACAGGGUUUAAAAUGUGUUUCAAAUGAAACACAUAAAGUACUUAAGCUGACAAAAGGUAUUCGUUUCCCCGUCGUACGCGAUAUAAAUAUAUUUAACGUUGUUUCGAAUCAAGCUAAGUAUUUGUCUCAUUUAACGGGAUUUAUUAUACAUUUACAAAAAAAGACAAGAAAUUUAAGUCGCUUUCUGAAUUAAUACAUAUACACAGAAUACCUCUGUGUUUCAAUUUUAGGUCCCUAGCAAGCGAUAAGCGAACGAAUUAUAAAUAUAAUGGGAUACAUAUAAUAUGAAAAUGCAGUGAUUAUAUUUAAAAAUAAAAUACCUUCCUAUGGAGCAUAUAUAUUAGUCAAGAGCAGGAGUAUUGUACG
rnacentral:misc_RNA from 1 species